GCCUGCGCGGAAGAUGUAACGGGGCUCAAAUAUAGCACCGAAGCUGCGGCAUCAGACGAAAGUCUGUUGGGUAGGGGAGCGUUGUGUAAGCGGAUGAAGGUGUGUUGAGAAGCAUGCUGGACGUAUCACAAGUGCGAAUGCUGACAUAAGUAACGAUAAAACGGGUGAAAAACCCGUUCGCCGGAAGACCAAGGGUUCCUGUCCAACGUUAAUCGGGGCAGGGUGAGUCGGCCCCUAAGGCGAGGCUGAAAAGCGUAGUCGAUGGGAAACGGGUUAAUAUUCCCGUACUUGGUAAAGCUGCGAUGUGGGGACGGAGCAGGUUAGGUUAGCGUGCUGUUGGAUAUGCACGUUUAAGUUGGUAGGUGGGGAGUUUAGGCAAAUCCGGACUUCCUUAACACUGAGAGAUGAUGACGAGGCUCUACGGAGCUGAAGUAACCGAUACCACACUUCCAGGAAAAGCCACUAAGCUUCAGGUUUAUCUAAACCGUACUGAAAACCGACACAGGUGGUCAGGUAGAGAAUACUCAGGCGCUUGAGAGAACUCGGGUGAAGGAACUAGGCAAAAUAGCACCGUAACUUCGGGAGAAGGUGCGCCGGCGUAGAUUGUAGUCCCUAGCGGGCGAAGGUUGAACCGGUCGAAGAUACCAGCUGGCUGCAACUGUUUAUUAAAAACACAGCACUCUGCAAACACGAAAGUGGACGUAUAGGGUGUGAUGCCUGCCCGGUGCUGGAAGGUUAAUUGAUGGUGUAAUCGAAAGAGAAGCUCCUGAUCGAAGCCCCAGUAAACGGCGGCCGUAACUAUAACGGUCCUAAGGUAGCGAAAUUCCUUGUCGGGUAAGUUCCGACCUGCACGAAUGGCAUAAUGAUGGCCAGGCUGUCUCCACCCGAGACUCAGUGAAAUUGAAAUCGCCGUGAAGAUGCGGUGUACCCGCGGCUAGACGGAAAGACCCCGUGAACCUUUACUAUAGCUUGACACUGAACAUUGAAUUUUGAUGUGUAGGAUAGGUGGGAGACUUAGAAGUAGUCACGCCAGUGAUUAUGGAGUCGUCCUUGAAAUACCACCCUUUAACGUUUGAUGUUCUAACGAAGAUUACGAAACGUGGUCUCGGACAGUGUCUGGUGGGUAGUUUGACUGGGGCGGUCUCCUCCCAAAGAGUAACG
rnacentral:rRNA from 1 species